UGCUUAACACAUGCAAGUCGAACGGACUUUUGGGGCUUGCUCCAGAAGUUAGUGGCGCACGGGUGAGUAACGCGUGGGAACCUGCCCUAGAGUGGGGAACAACCACUGGAAACGGUGGCUAAUACCGCAUACGUCCUAUUGGAGAAAGGCUUCGGCCGCUCUUGGAUGGUCCCGCGUCUGAUUAGCUAGUUGGUGAGAUAACGGCCCACCAAGGCAACGAUCAGUAGCUGGUCUGAGAGGAUGAUCAGCCACACUGGAACUGAGACACGGUCCAGACUCCUACGGGAGGCAGCAGUGAGGAAUAUUGGGCAAUGGCCGAAAGGCUGACCCAGCAACGCCGCGUGGAGGAUGAAUGUCGUAAGAUUGUAAACUCC
rnacentral:rRNA from 1 species